UAGAGAUCCGGGUAGUGCGACUGUGUCU
rnacentral:sRNA from 1 species